rnacentral:rRNA from 1 species
GCGGUAAACGAUGAUUACCAGGUGUCGGGGGCAAUGUGCCCCCGGUGCCGGCGCAAACGCAAUAAGUAAUCCACCUGGGGAGUACGUUCGCAAGAAUGAAACUCAAAGGAAUUGACGGGGACCCGCACAAGCGGUGGAGCAUGUGGUUUAAUUCGACGCAACGCGAAGAACCUUACCCAGGCUUGACAUCCCAAUGAAUGCCCGGCAAUGCGGGCAGGCCCUUCGGGGACAUUGGAGACAGGUGGUGCAUGGUUGUCGUCAGCUCGUGUCGUGAGAUGUUGGGCUAAGUCCCGCAACGAGCGCAACCCUUACCCCCAGUAGCCAGCAGUAAGAUGGGAACUCUGGGGGGACUGCCGGGGACAACCCGGAGGAAGGUGGGGAUGACGUCAAAUCAUCAUGCCCCUUAUGCCUGGGGCGACACACGUGCUACAAUGGCGUAAACAGAGGGAAGCGAACCCGCGAGGGGGAGCAAAUCCGAGAAAUAACGCCCCAGUUCGGAUUGCAGGCUGCAACCCGCCUGCAUGAAGCCGGAAUCGCUAGUAAUCGCGGAUCAGAAUGCCGCGGUGAAUACGUUCCCGGGUCUUGUACACACCGCCCGUCACACCAUGGGAGCCGGGAAUGCCCGAAGCCGGCGGCCUAACCGAAAGGGGGGAGCCGUCGAAGGCAGGCCCGGUGACUGGGGUGAAGUCGUAACAAGGUAGCCGUAUCGGAAGGUGCGGCUGGAUCACCUC